AGUCAAGCGGACGAAGGCAUGUGGGGGAUGCCUGGGUACACGGAGGCGAGGAAGGCCGCGGUAAGCUGCGAAAAGCUCGGGGGAGUGGCACACACGCAAUGAUCCCGAGGUGGCCGAAUGGGGCAACCCGGCGGGUCGUGAGGCCCGUCAUCUCUCAGCAAUGGGAGAGGCGAACCCAGGGAACUGAAACAUCUCAGUACCUGGAGGAAGAGAAAUCAAUUGAGAUGCCCUCAGUAGCGGCGAGCGAACGGGGCAGUGGCCUAAACCGAGGUUCUCUGAAUCUCGGGGUUGUAGGAUCCACGGACGGCCCGUGGUCAAGCCAGUCGAAGUCCCCUGGAAUGGGGCGCCAGAGACGGUGAGAGCCCGGUAGAUGACGGCACGGACUAGGGGCUAGUGGCGAUCCUGAGUAACGCCCGACUCGAGUAAUCGGGCGUGAAGCUGGGGGGACCACCCUCCAAGGCUAAAGACUCCCGUGUGACCGAUAGUGGACGAGUACCGUGAGGGACAGGUGAAAAGCACCCCUGUGCGGGGAGUGAAAGAGAGCCUGAAACCACAUGCCUACAAGCGGUAGGAGGAUGGGCUGGCGGUUCGCCGUCAGUCGCGUCUGACUGCGUGCCUUUUGCAUUAUGAUCCGGCGAGUUGCUCCUCGCGUGCGUGGCUAAGCCGGUUGCCGGCGGAGCCGGAGCGAAAGCGAGUCCUGUAACGAGGGCGUGGGUGGGGGGUGACCCCCAUCCAGUAGUACGCGGGGGCAGACCCGAAGCCAGGGCGAUCUACCCAUGAGCAGGGUGAAGCUGGGGUAACACCCAGUGGAGGCCCGAACCGGUGUGGGUUGAAAACCGCUCGGAUGACUUGUGGGUAGGGGUGAAAGGCCAAUCAAGCCUGGAGAUAGCUGGUUCUCCCCGAAAUCUAUUGAGGUAGAGCCUCGGGAACGGCGCAAGCCACCGGCGCAAGCCGGUGAUGUCAGCAGGGGGUAGAGCGACUGGAUGGGCGCGGGGGAGCGAAGCUCCUACCAACCCCAACCAAACUCCGAAUACCUGUCUGAUCAGAGCCCGGGAGGCAGUCGCUGAGCGAUAAUGUCCAGCGGCGAGAGGGAAAGAACCCAGAGCCACAGCUAAGGUCCCGAAGUGGCCGCUGAGUAUAGCGAAGGAUGUGUCCGUGCCGUGACAACGAGGAGGUUGGCUUAGAAGCAGCCAUUCCUUUAAAGAGUGCGUAAUAGCUCACUCGUCCAGCGUGGAUGCGCCGAGAAUGGUCGGGAUUAAGCGGCCCGCCGAAGCUUGGCCUUUGUCUUUCGAGACAAGGGGUAGGGGAGCGUUCUGGGAACUGCGAAGCCGUCGUGGCAAACGACGUGUGGAGUGACCAGAAGUGAGGAUGCCGGAAUGAGUACGCGCAAAUCAGGGUGAAAACCCCUGACACCGUAAGCCCAAGGGUUCCUGCGCCAUGGCAAUCAGCGCAGGGUGAGGCGGGACCUAAGGCGAGGCCCCAGAGGCGUAGCCGAUGGAAAGCCGGUUGACAUUCCGGCCCCGUCGUGUCGUGAUGAAGCUCACAGGGACACUGGAACGAAGCCGCGGCGGCCAUGUGGACGGCCGUCUAACCGCGUAGAGCUCCCUCAAAAGGGUUCGAGACGGGAUGGCGAGGGCACGGGGGCAACCCCACGCCCGAGCGUGGUAGAGUCGACAGGCAAGAAAAGCUGUGAGGGGAGCGACCCGAUGUCCGUACCGGAAACCGACACAGGUGGGCGAGGCGAGCAGCCUCAGGUGAACGAGUGAGACGUGGUCAAGGAACUCGGCAUACUGAUCCCGUAACUUCGGAAGAAGGGAUGCUGAGCAGAGUGAGAGAAUUCACUUCUCGAGCUCUUUUCAGUCGCAGCGAAUCGGCCCAAGCGACUGUUUAGCAAAAACACAGGUGUGUGCCAAGCCGCACAAGGCGCCGUAUACACACUGACGCCUGCCCGGUGCCGGAAGGUUAAGGGGAGGGGUUAGAGUCCUUCGGGACUCGACGCUCUGAGCCGAAGCCCCGGUAAACGGCGGCCGUAACUAUAACGGUCCUAAGGUAGCGAAAUUCCUUGUCGGGUAAGUUCCGACCUGCACGAAUGGCGUAACGACUUGGGCACUGUCUCGACCACGCGCUCGGCGAAAUUGCAGUCUCGGUGAGGAUUCCGAGUCCCCGCGACAGGACAAAAAGACCCCAUGCACCUUUACUGUAGCUUGCCAUUGGACGUUGCACUUCGCUGUGUAGCAUAGGUGGGACCCGAUGAGCCCUGGGCGCUAGCUCAGGGGGAGGGGCCAGUGAAAUACCACCCUGCGUCGUGCGACGCCCUCACUGCGUGAGACACAACUCUCACCAGGACCGUGGCAGGUGGGCAGUUUGACUGGGGCGGUCGCCUCCGAAACGGUAACGGAGGCGCGCGAAGGUGGGCUCAGCGCGGUCGGUACUCGCGCUUAUAGAGUGUAACGGCAGAAGCCCGCCUGACGGUGAGAGGGACACCUCGAGCCGCCACGAAAGUGGGCCGUAGUGAUCCGGUAGCCCCGUGUGGAUGGGCUAUCGCGCAACGGAUAAAAGGUACGCUGGGGAUAACAGGCUUAUCGCGCCCGAGAGUUCACAUCGACGGCGCGGUUUGGCACCUCGAUGUCGGCUUAUCACAUCCUGGGGCUGGAGAAGGUCCCAAGGGUCCGGCUGUUCGCCGGUUAAAGUGGUACAUGAGCUGGGUUCAGAACGUCGUGAGACAGUUCGGUCUGUAUCCGUCGUGGGCGUUGGACGAUUGCGGGGGGCGGACUCUAGUACGAGAGGACCGAGUCGGACGGCCCGCUCGUGUCCCGGCUGCACUGCCCAGUGCAACGCCGGGUAGCGAUGGCCGGCAGUGAUAACCGCUGAAUGCAUCUAAGUGGGAAGCACGCCCCAAGAUGAAUCGUCCCUGUCCCCUCGUGGGACACUGAAGGGCCGGGAGAGACGAUCCCGUCGAUAGGCCGCCCGUGGACGUGGUGCAAACCACUCCAAGCGCAGCGGUCCUAAUCGCCCGUGUGGCUUGACUA
rnacentral:rRNA from 1 species